GGACCAAGGAGUCUAGCAUGUGCGCGAGUCAUUGGGAAAUUACUAAACCUAAAGGCGCAAUGAAAGUAACGGAUUUCCGAGGGAAGAUGGGCGGUUGCCAAAAAGUGGCCGCUCCGCAUUCCCGGGGCGUCUCAGUCUCUUUUGAGCAGAGGCGCACCAAGAGCGUACACGCUGGGACCCGAAAGAUGGUGAACUAUGCCUGGUCAGGACGAAGUCAGGGGAAACCCUGAUGGAGGUCCGUAGCGAUUCUGACGUGCAAAUCGAUCGUCGGAACUGGGUAUAGGGGCGAAAGACUAAUCGAACCAUCUAGUAGCUGGUUCCCUCCGAAGUUUCCCUCAGGAUAGCUGGCGCUCGUUGCGCAAGAGUCUCAUCCGGUAAAGCGAAUGAUUAGAGGCAUUGGGGUCGAAACGGCCUCAACCUAUUCUCAAACUUUAAAUGGGUGAGAUCUCCGGCUUGCUUGAACGUAUGAAGCCGUGAGACACGGAUCAGAGUGCCAAGUGGGCCAUUUUUGGUAAGCAGAACUGGCGCUGUGGGAUGAACCAAACGUCGAGUUAAAGCGCCUAAAUCGACGCUUAUGGGAUACCAUGAAAGGCGUUGGUAACUUAAGACAGCAGGACGGUGGCCAUGGAAGUUGGA
rnacentral:rRNA from 1 species